GUCAUCCAUGCAGUUGUUUCGGUGCUGAGCAUCCUGGGAUCCGUCGCCAUAGCCUACUUCCUGUACAAGUGCGUCAAAAAGAACGUCCUCCCCGCCAUCAACAUCAACACCACCAGCCCCGCGCCGGCGGGGAGCACGACGCUGUACGCCGUGGUGCCGGACUCCCAGAUACGGGACGCCACCGUCGAGCGGUUCCUCAAGGAGAUCGCCGUCGAGAAGCCCAUCCGAUUCACCCCGCAGCAUCUCUCGGGCUUCACCAACAAGUACUCCGCCCGGCUCGGCGCCGGCGGCUUCGGCGCCAUCUACAAGGGCAUGCUGCCCAACGGCCUAAUGGUUGCCGUGAAGCACCUCCACCCCGGCCAGGACGACAGGACCUCGCAGGAGCAGUUCAUGGCGGAGGUGGGCACCAUCGGGAGGACGCACCACAUCAACCUGGUCAGGCUGUUCGGCUUCUGCUACGAAGCCGACGUGCGCGCGCUGGUGUACGAGUACAUGGAGCACGGCGCGCUCGAAUCCUACCUCUUCGACCGGAGCCGCGACGUCGGGUUCCAGACGAUGCGCGCCAUCGCUGUCGGCGUCGCCAGGGGGCUCCGGUACCUCCACGAGGAGUGCCAGCAGAAGAUCAUGCACUACGACAUCAAACCCGGCAACGUCCUCCUCGAUGGCGGCCUCACGCCCAAAGUGGCCGACUUCGGCCUCGCGCGGCUGCUGAACCGGGCGGACAUGCACAAGACGGUCUCCGGGAUGCGUGGCACGCCCGGGUACGCCGCGCCGGAGAUGUGGAUGCAGGCCGGCGCCACCGAGAAGUGCGACGUCUACAGCUUCGGCAUCCUCCUGUUCGAGAUCCUCGGCAGGAGGAGGAACUUCGACGAGGCCGCGCCGGAGAGCCAGCAGUGGUUCCCGAAGCUGGCGUGGACGAAGUACGAGAGCGGCGAGCUAAUGGAAGUCGUUGCGAGUUCUAACGACGCGUGCGAGGAAGACAAGAGGGCAGCGCAUAGGAUGUGCGAGGUGGCGUUCUGGUGUGUGCAGCAGCAGCCGAAGGCGAGGCCGCCGAUGAGCGUGGUGGUGAAGAUGCUCGAGGGCGAGAUGGACAUUGCUCCGCCCGCGAACCCGUUCCAGCAUCUCAUGGCAACGCCGGCGGCGGCAAACCUGUGGGCCACGGGGACGAGCACCGUGAACUCGGUGUCGAGUUCGGCAAAUGGUGUUCCUCGUGGCAGCGACGAGAUCGUUUAA
rnacentral:rRNA from 1 species